rnacentral:rRNA from 1 species
GAUGAACGCUGGCGGCGUGCCUAAUAUAUGCAAGUCGAGCGAACAGACGAGGAGCUUGCUCCUCUGACGUUAGCGGCGGACGGGUGAGUAACACGUGGAUAACCUACCUAUAAGACUGGGAUAACUUCGGGAAACCGGAGCUAAUACCGGAUAAUAUAUUGAACCGCAUGGUUCAAUAGUGAAAGACGGUUUUGCUGUCACUUAUAGAUGGAUCCGCGCCGCAUUAGCUAGUUGGUAAGGUAACGGCUUACCAAGGCAACGAUGCGUAGCCGACCUGAGAGGGUGAUCGGCCACACUGGAACUGAGACACGGUCCAGACUCCUACGGGAGGCAGCAGUAGGGAAUCUUCCGCAAUGGGCGAAAGCCUGACGGAGCAACGCCGCGUGAGUGAUGAAGGUCUUCGGAUCGUAAAACUCUGUUAUUAGGGAAGAACAAAUGUGUAAGUAACUAUGCACGUCUUGACGGUACCUAAUCAGAAAGCCACGGCUAACUACGU